ACUCCUACGGGAGGCAGCAGUGGGGAAUAUUGCACAAUGGGGGAAACCCUGAUGCAGCCAUGCCGCGUGUGUGAAGAAGGCCUUGGGUUGUAAAGCACUUUCAGUAGGGAGGAAGGUAGUGUAGUUAACACCUGCAUUAUUUGACGUUACCUACAGAAGAAGCACCGGCUAACUCCGUGCCAGCAGCCGCGGUAAUACGGAGGGUGCGAGCGUUAAUCGGAAUUACUGGGCGUAAAGCGCAUGCAGGCGGCCUGUUAAGUCAGAUGUGAAAGCCCGGGGCUUAACCUCGGAAUUGCAUUUGAAACUGGCAGGCUAGAGUCUUGUAGAGGGGUUAGAAUUUCAGGUGUAGCGGUGAAAUGCGUAGAGAUCUGAAGGAAUACCGAGUGGCGAACGGCGGCCCCCUGGACAAAGACUGACGCUCAGAUGCGAAAGCGUGGGAGCAAACAGGAUUAGAUA
rnacentral:rRNA from 1 species